rnacentral:rRNA from 1 species
GACAGAGGGGGCAAGCGUUGCUCGGAAUUACUGGGCGUAAAGGGCGCGUAGGCGGAAUGGCAAGUCGGUCGUGAAAUCCUUCGGCUCAACCGAAGAACGUCGAUCGAAACUGCCGUUCUUGAGGAUUGCAGAGGAGACUGGAAUUCCCGGUGUAGCGGUGAAAUGUGUAGAGAUCGAGAGGAACACCGGUGGCGAAGGCGGGUCUCUGGGCAAUUCCUGACGCUGAGGCGCGAAAGCGUGGGGAGCAAACGGG